rnacentral:rRNA from 1 species
AACGAACGCUGGCGGCAUGCCUAACACAUGCAAGUCGAACGAUACCUUCAGGUCCUUUCUCUCACUGGUGCGUAACCCGUCGGAACCUUCCCUUAUGUUCGGCAUAACUCCCCGAAAGGGGUGCUAAUACCGGACAAUAUCUUCUAACCCAUGAUUUAUCGCCUUUGGAUUGGCCCGAGUUGGAUUAGCUAUUUGGUAGCGUAAAAGUCUACCAAGGCGACGAUCCAUAGCUGGUCUGAGAGGAUGAUCAGCCACACUGGGACUGAGACACGGCCCAGACUCCUACGGGAGGGAGCAGUGGGGAAUAUUGGACGAUGGGUGAGUGAAUGAGGCAGCAAUGCCGUGUGAGUGAUGAAGGACUUAGGGUCGUAAAGCUGUUUUAACCGGGAAGAUAAUGACAGUACCGGGAGAAUAAGCGCCGGCUAACUACGUG